rnacentral:rRNA from 1 species
CCCUUAGAUGUCCUGGGCCGCACGCGCGUUACACUGAUGCAUUCAACGAGCUUAUAACCUUGGCCGAGAGGCCUGGGCAAUCUUGUUAACGUGCAUCGUGAUAGGGAUAGAUUAUUGAAAUUAUUAAUCUUGAACGAGGAAUUCCUAGUAAACGCAGAUCAUCAAUCUGCAUUGAUUACGUCCCUGCCCUUUGUACACACCGCCCGUCGCUCCUACCGAUUGAAUGAUCCGAUGAAUAUCAUGGAUUGAGGAUGCAAGUAGGUUAGCCUAUCUUCAUCUUCGAGAAGUGAAGUAAAUCUUAUCAUUUAGAGGAAGGAGAAGUCGUAACA